rnacentral:piRNA from 1 species
UGUCUAGCAUCUGGUUAUGUUGGAAGUGC